rnacentral:rRNA from 1 species
GAUGAACGCUAGCGGGAGGCCUAACACAUGCAAGCCGAGCGGUAUUUUGUCCUUCGGGACAGAGAGAGCGGCGUACGGGUGCGGAACACGUGUGCAACCUACCUUUAUCAGGGGGAUAGCCUUUCGAAAGGAAGAUUAAUACCCCAUAAUAUAUUGAAUGGCAUCAUUUAAUAUUGAAAACUCCGGUGGAUAGAGAUGGGCACGCGCAAGAUUAGAUAGUUGGUAGGGUAACGGCCUACCAAGUCAAUGAUCUUUAGGGGCCUGAGAGGGUGAUCCCCCACACUGGUACUGAGACACGGACCAG